GCCUGGCUGGCUCAGUUUGUGGAGCGUGUGACUUGAUCUUGAGGUUGUGGGUUUGAGUCCCACCCUGGGUA
rnacentral:tRNA from 1 species